rnacentral:lncRNA from 1 species
GUCAGCGUGCACAGACCCGCCCACACCUCUGACGGACCGACCUGCUGUGGAUGUGGAGGCAAAGAGAAGAAGGACCGAACAUGGCCGGCUCGCUCCAAUUAGGAGAUACUGAGCGGGCAGUUAUGGCAGGUGUGCCUGUUGCACUCCAAGGUGCACUUCCGCCGGUACCGUCCACACCGUUAACGGUCUCCACACCCCAGGUUAACCCACAGGCCCCUACAGCUGUGUCCUCAGGCACUGCCACAUUUGCUACCACUAUGACAUCACUGAGAUCAGUUCUGCCACUCCUGAAAGAAAAUCCCUGCUUUAGGGUCCUUCUUGAGAAGCCUGAAGAACCCAGUGAUAUUACAGCAGCUGUUGUGGCUGCCCUCCUGAAACCCAACUACUCUGUUCUGGGAAGCAACAGAAGACCAAGAGAGGAGUUAAUGGUGGUUAAGUUCAGAGAGUUUCUCCAAUGUGUACAAGAGAAAGAAGUUGGUGAACAUCUUCAUGCCAGGACCCUUACUGAGGAAGAGCAGGCGUUUAUCCUGACAUUGAAUCCUGCAUAUCUAGACAUGCACAGACACAAUAAAGCCAGUAAACCAAUGGGUGGUUUUGCUGAUUUAUUUUUCUCUGUAUACAUUUCAGGUUUACUUAUUGUCGGUUAAAACAUUUCAGGCUAAUGUUGAAACUGUUCAGCUUUUCUACCAAUCUGCUCAAAAAGUAUUUACAGUACAGCAUUGUUAAAUGUACACCACUACUGACUGACAUGUUAAUGUUACAUUCUUUACUUCAGUACCUUCAUUAUUAUUGGCUCAAGAGUUGUUUGUCUAGUGUGAAAAGCUGAAGUGGGGUUCUGUUUACUUGAGAUGUGAUUGAAUGAUUGUUAAAUGCAGCUUUAAACUCAUCUAAUGUGCAAUUGAUCCUUAGAAUGUACACAAAAUUGAAGACAAAAUAAUUCCCAUUCAUUGUCUACAUCCAAGGCCUCCAUUGACUCCAGUUCAUAGAAAAUAUCAAGCAUCCAAUUCCUAAUCAGAAAUGGUACUGAAUUUUGUGUACCUUAAGUUGUAUUCCCACAUCAGCUUGUAUAAAGUGGGUCCGGAGAUCCACAGGACUGAAGCCACUUCAGAAAGCGUUGUUCCCAGCAGCAGCAAACCCUCAAUGUCCUCUUUGGAAAGUACUGUAUGCCCAUCCUACAAAACAGGAAAAAACACAUAUCAUGAAUUGCACUGAACUAAUCAACCUGUUAUCAUUUCCUACGUGCAGCCGUGUUGACUGCAUAGUCAAAUCCCUUGGCAU